UUACGGCCAUAUCACGUUGAAACACUGGUUCGCGUAAGAUCACCGAAGUUAAGCAACGUCAAAACGGCUCAGUACCUAGAUGGGUGACCACUUGGUAAUACCAGAUGCUGUAAG